AAAUCUGUAUCUUUGUAUAAUUAUGUUGACUUACCAAGUGACACUGAAAGAAUUCUGUGUCACAAAGGACAAAUGUCCUUGUGUCAUAAUAAAGGACUGUAUGGAAUUGUCUGCUCAAUGAUUUUCUGCAGGUGUGUAUGCAAGAUGACAAGAUCCUAACCUAAGGCAUAGGAGGAAGUAAUUAAGAAAAAUAUCUCCAAAUGCCAGACCUUCCUGUCUGGGCCCAAUCCUGCUCUCUGCACCUAGAAAAUGAGACUCUUGUAUCCAGGGCUAAGUCCGUGGAAUUAGGUCUGGGAUUCACAACUAAGCUCUGCAUGAGUCACUUAGUCCUUCUGCCUUACCUGCCCACCUCAGCACAGCAAGGAGCAGAAAGCUUUGUGGAGCAUUUAGGAGCCUGAAACACCAAGGAAGCCUGUCCAUGGAAGCGUACUCAUAACUCCAAUGAAGUCAGUGGAGCAUCACAGAUUUACUGGAGGACUAAAUCCUAGCGUGAAAG